GUGGGGAAUAUUGGACAAUGGGCGAAAGCCUGACGCAGCCAUGCCGCGUGAAUGAUGAAGGUCUUAGGAUUGUAAAAUUCUUUCACCGGGGACGAUAAUGACGGUACCCGGAGAAGAAGCUCCGGCUAACUUCGUGCCAGCAGCCGCGGUAAUACGAAGGGGGCUAGCGUUGCUCGGAAUUACUGGGCGUAAAGGGCGCGUAGGCGGACAGCUUAGUCAGAGGUGAAAGCCCAGGGCUCAACCUUGGAAUUGCCUUUGAUACUGGCUGUCUUGAGUUUGGGAGAGGUGAGUGGAACUCCGAGUGUAGAGGUGAAAUUCGUAGAUAUUCGGAAGAACACCAGUGGUGAAGGCGACUCACUGGCCCAAUACUGACGCUGAGGCGCGAAAGCGUGGGGAGCAAACAGGAUUAGAUACCCGUGUAGUCC
rnacentral:rRNA from 1 species